rnacentral:rRNA from 1 species
CCUACGGUGGGCAGCAGUGAGGAAUAUUGGUCAAUGGCCGGAAGGCUGAACCAGCCAUGCCGCGUGAAGGUCAGUGCCCUAUGGGCGUUAAACUUCUUUUGUGCGGGAGCAAUAAUGGGCACGUGUGGCCAGACGAGAGUACCGUACGAAUAAGCAUCGGCUAACUCCGUGCCAGCAGCGGCGGUGAUACGGGGGAUGCAAGCGUUAUCCGGAUUUAUUGGGUGUAAAGGGUGCGUAGGCUGUGAGGUAAGUCAGCGGGGAAAUGCCCCCGGUCAACGGGGUGAAGUGCCAUUGAUAUUGGCUUGCUGGAAUGCGGAUGCCGUGGGAGGAAUGUGUGGUGUAGCGGUGAAAUGCAUAGAUAUCACGCAGAACACCGAUUGCGAAGGCAUCUCACGAAUCCGCGAUUGACGCUGAUGCACGAAAGCGUGGGUAUCAAACAGGAUUAGAUACCCUGGUAGUC